rnacentral:tRNA from 2 species
GUCCUCGUGGAGCAGUUGGAGUGCUCGCCUGCCUGUCACGCAGGAGAUCGCGGGUUCAAGUCCCGUCGAGGGCG